rnacentral:lncRNA from 1 species
GACCCAGACCUGUGAGGUGUUGAACAUUUCUGAUGAGGAAUUGGGUUCCUUCAACACUAUGUGACUGUGAAGUGUACUCCAAAGCAGCUGAAACAAUAUUUGGGAGGAAAUUUGUUGCAGAGCCAACCAUCCUGCCUCCUUGUUCUUGUCUGCCUUAGUAGAUUUGACUGGAAAAAAAAGAAGUGAAAAUGAGCUUCUAUUUGUUUUGCCACUGGAUUUGUUGAAGUCUGUUUGGGAAGAUAGUGAAGCUAAUCUCACUAAUGGACUCAUAAAUGCUGCCCAGUUUGGAAGAAGCAGAAGUGAACAAAUAAGAGCCACUGGCUAUCUGUCAGAGUGGUUACGGUGCUAAUGAAAAUUUGGAACGCCAUUGCAAGCCGGAAUGUUUGGCAGAAGCAAGAAUAUUUCUGUGCUGUUUAUGAGGUAUAUAAAAAGGCAAAACAAAACAAUAAUUGCCUUCAAAGAGCUUCCAUUGUCUACACUGCUCAGAGAUAUUCUGAUUGAAAAGAAA